UCGUAUCACUUUUCACUAUACAGAUCUCGUGGUUAAUACUACUUCAACAAAACAUGUUUUUUUCGAUUUCUCUGAUCUUUUUUUCUUUAUGGAAGCGCCCUUUCAAUCGAUAAGAACAGCUGGUUUUUUUAUUUGAUGAUUCCGCUACAUCUUGACUUGACUACUGAACUUCGGAAAUUCUGGGUGAACUUUCGACCAAUCUGCAUUAGACAGAAUUCCCACCGCAAGGUUACAUCUCCUAUGUUAUCUGAAUCCAAAUAACACGAUGGCAGGGCUAAGCAGCAUUCAGAUUUUAUCAGGUAUUAUAUGUGGGAUAAGCUAUUCAUAUUUUGUUGUAUCAAGGCUUCCGAAGGGGCUAGCUCGCCUUGUGGCAGUGGCCCCUAUCAUAGCUUUUCACACUGUUUUGCCAGGACAAGUGUCCACAAUCCAUAUGAGAGGACAACUUUCUUUCAUGUUUAUGUGGAUUAGUUCUUUCAAGCUGCUAAUGCUUUGUUUUGAUGUGGGUCCUCUGGCAACACUAUGGGCAAGGUCCAAUCUGCUUCACUUCAUGGCAGUAGCUGUUAUUCCAAUAGAGCUGCGGCGAGCCAAGCCUAAAAAUGAUAAGAAAAAGUCUUCCAGAUGGAAAACAUGGAUCAAAUUGAUUCUAGAAGUAUGUGUUUAUGCAGGAAUCAUACACUCCUUUUCAUUCAGAAAUAGGAUUCCUCAUUGCCUAAUUAUUGUACUUUAUGGAUUUGUAAUUUAUUUUAGUCUUGAUAUUGUGCUAGUAAGCCUGGCAGCCAUUGUAGAUGUUUGUCUGGGUGCAGAGUUGGAACCCCAGUUCAACAAACCUUACCUUGCUUCUUCGCUUGAAGAUUUCUGGGGUAAAAGGUGGAACCUUAUUGUCACAAAUAUUCUUCGCCCAUCUGUGUAUGAUCCUAUCUUACUUUUCUGCUGGAAGACCCAUAAUUUGAUAAAAGAAGAGAACAAGCAAGUGGAGAAGAAGCCUCCCUAUUGGGCAAGGGCUGUUGCACUAUUUUCUACAUUUAUAGUCUCUGGAUUGAUGCAUGAAGCAAUAAUGUAUUACAUCACAGAAUCCAGGUCCAGCUGGGAUAUGUUGGGAUUCUUUACCCUCCAUGGCUGCUGUACGGCCAUUGAAGUUGGUUUGAAAAGAAGUGGCAGGUUUACCUACAUUGCAGCACCAAAAUUCAUUUCGAUGCCCAUUACUCUUAUCUUCAUCUACAUAACAGCACUUUGGCUUUUCUUUCCCGCAUUUACCAGAUAUGAGACAGAUAUAAAGGGGAUUGCCGAAUAUGAGUUACUUAUAAAGUACUUGUUUCCACCGAGUGAAUGAUCCUCUAAUUGUGUUUCUAUGCGAAAGAGAUUUAGUUAUUAAACACUCCCAGGUGAGAGGAGCAUUUAUAAAUUUCGAUGUCUAUUCUCACACAUACCAUUUGACAUAUAUAGUGGGCUGGGUACGAUCAAGUGAUGCCUUGACCGGCCAUGUCUUUUGGACAUGGCCGAUCAAGACAUCACUUGAUCGUGCCCCUUCGCUAUAACAAUAGUGCAUGGCGUUUAUUAACCAAACGGUGUAUGUUCAACACUCGAUAACUAUCAGUGUAUGCCAAUCGGUGUAUGAUUAUAUUUAACACUUCGAACGCUUGCCUUAACACCCGAUAUCAAUCGGUGUGUAUUUAAUAUACCACCUGAUAACAAUCGGUGCAAACAUAAACUAACAUCGAUACUAAUCGAUGUUCGGUCUACCUGAUAAUCAUUAAAUCAGAUUUGCAAUGGUUAACCCGAUUUGACAAUCGGUGAAUGCAAA